rnacentral:rRNA from 1 species
GACGAACGCUGGCGGCGUGCUUAACACAUGCAAGUCGAACGGAAAGGCCCUGCUUUUGUGGGGUGCUCGAGUGGCGAACGGGUGAGUAACACGUGAGUAACCUGCCCUUGACUUUGGGAUAACUUCAGGAAACUGGGGCUAAUACCGGAUAGGAGCUCCUGCUGCAUGGUGGGGGUUGGAAAGUUUCGGCGGUUGGGGAUGGACUCGCGGCUUAUCAGCUUGUUGGUGGGGUAGUGGCUUACCAAGGCUUUGACGGGUAGCCGGCCUGAGAGGGUGACCGGCCACAUUGGGACUGAGAUACGGCCCAGACUCCUACGGGAGGCAGCAGUGGGGAAUAUUGCACAAUGGGCGGAAGCCUGAUGCAGCAACGCCGCGUGCGGGAUGACGGCCUUCGGGUUGUAAACCGCUUUCGCCUGUGACGAAUCGUGAGUGACGGUAAUGGGUAAAGAAGCACCGGCUAACUACGUGCCAGCAGCCGCGGUGAUACGUAGGGUGCGAGCGUUGUCCGGAUUUAUUGGGCGUAAAGGGCUCGUAGGUGGUUGAUCGCGUCGGAAGUGUAAUCUUGGGGCUUAACCCUGAGCGUGCUUUCGAUACGGGUUGACUUGAGGAAGGUAGGGGAGAAUGGAAUUCCUGGUGGAGCGGUGGAAUGCGCAGAUAUCAGGAGGAACACCAGUGGCGAAGGCGGUUCUCUGGGCCUUUCCUGACGCUGAGGAGCGAAAGCGUGGGGAGCGAACAGGCUUAGAUACCCUGGUAGUCCACGCUGUAAACGGUGGGUACUAGGUGUGGGGUCCAUUCCACGGGUUCCGUGCCGUAGCUAACGCUUUAAGUACCCCGCCUGGGGAGUACGGCCGCAAGGCUAAAACUCAAAGGAAUUGACGGGGCCCCGCACAAGCGGCGGAGCAUGCGGAUUAAUUCGAUGCAACGCGUAGAACCUUACCUGGGUUUGACAUGGAUCGGGAGUGCUCAGAGAUGGGUGUGCCUCUUUUGGGGUCGGUUCACAGGUGGUGCAUGCCUGUCGUCAGCUCGUGUCGUGAGAUGUUGGGUUAAGUCCCGCAACGAGCGCAACCCUUGUUCACUGUUGCCAGCACGUUAUGGUGGGGACUCAGUGGAGACCGCCGGGGUCAACUCGGAGGAAGGUGGGGAUGACGUCAAGUCCUCAUGCCCCUUAUGUCCAGGGCUUCACGCAUGCUACAAUGGCUGGUACAGAGAGUGGCGAGCCUGUGAGGGUGAGCGAAUCUCGGAAAGCCGGUCUCAGUUCGGAUUGGGGUCUGCAACUCGACCUCAUGAAGUCGGAGUCGCUAGUAAUCGCAGAUCAGCAACGCUGCGGUGAAUACGUUCCCGGGGCU